rnacentral:rRNA from 1 species
AGAGUUUGAUUCUGGCUCAGGAUGAACGCUAGCGACAGGCUAACACAUGCAAGUCGAGGGGCAGCACGGGAGUAGCAAUACUUGGUGGCGACCGGCGCACGGGUGAGUAACGCGUAUGCAACCUACCUAUCAGAGGGGAAUAACCCGGCGAAAGUCGGACUAAUACCGCAUAAAACAGGGGCACCGCAUGGUGAUAUUUGUUAAAGAAAUUCGCUGAUAGAUGGGCAUGCGUUCCAUUAGGUAGUUGGUGAGGUAACGGCUCACCAAGCCGACGAUGGAUAGGGGAACUGAGAGGUUGGUCCCCCACACUGGUACUGAGACACGGACCAGACUCCUACGGGAGGCAGCAGUGAGGAAUAUUGGUCAAUGGGCGGGAGCCUGAACCAGCCAAGUCGCCGUGAAGGAAGAAGGAUCUAUGGUUCGUAAACUUCUUUUGCAGGGGAAUAAAGUGCAGGACGUGUCCUGUUUUGUAUGUACCCUGAGAAUAAGGAUCGGCUAACUCCGUGCCAGCCGCGGC